CUGGUCAAGAGUCCUAUUUUUAGAUCCGCCACCCACAUGGUUUCCGUUUUUCACUUGCAAUAUCUUAGUGAUGAUAUUGAAUAAUUUUAGGUUCGGGUUAUCUCCGACUUCUCUUAAGACUCCUCUUUUUAAGAGAGAGGGUCAGUGGCAAUGGCAAUCUCAAACCCAAAAGACAAACAAUCACAAACACAAAACACAAACAAUCACGAACCCAAACACCACACAUGCAUGGCUUCACCAAACUUAACCCGAAAGCGAUCAUGGCGGCAUUUAAAACGUUUAACAAAAAGACCUAAGAGCUGUCAUUCUAUGUAAAAAGGAAAUAUUUUAAAUUGAUCCCGAUAUCUCCAAAC